ACAACCUGUCUGGGUGGAAUACACAUACAUCUCUUGCUUGUCCAUUAUAUAAUUUUAAUACGGAAUCUAUAAGGCUAAAGUUUGGUAGGAAAAAUUGCUUUAGGGGACAUCGUCGGUAUUUUCCACAUGAUCACAAGUAUAGGUACAAUAAGCAGUCCUUUAAUGAUUUUGAAGAGCAUAGACCUGCGCCUAUUCCACCAUCAGGUUCAACCAUGUUGAGGCAAAUUGAGGAGAAUCGGAAGAGGCAACGUGAUUGUUCUACAAGUAAGGUUAGCCCGGAACAAUGGAAGAAAAAGAGUAUUUUUUGGGAUUUACCUUAUUGGAAGAACAUCUUAUUCGUCAUUGCCUUGACAUGAUGCUCAUAGAGAAGAACGUUUGUGACAAUAUAUUGUUCACCUUACUUGGUGACAAAAAAAAAAAGAUCAAAAGACAAUUUGCAAGCGAUGGGAAUUAGAGAAAAGCUUCAUCCAUAUCCUAAUUCUUCUAAGUUUCCUCCGUCAUGCUUUAACAUGAAGAAAGAGUAGAAAGAUAUCUUCCUAAAAGUUUUAAAAAAUGUGGUUUUUCCAGAUAAUUACGCAUCAAACAUUUCUAGAUGUGUUGAUCUUAAGAAACGCAAGAUCUUUAAUUUAAAGAGCCAUGAUUCCCACAUUCAGAUGGAGCAUCUUUUGCCAAUUGAUUUAAGAAGAUCUCUUCCUAAAGAAAUUACUUUAUUUUGAUUGAGUUAUGUAACUCCUUUAGAGAAGUAUCAAGCAAGGUUUUAGAUGUAAAGUAUAUGGAGAAGCUCUAACAAAGAAUUUGGUUGAAUCAUUCUAAUAUGGAAGUGAUAUUCCCUCCGUAAUUUGUCACUAUUAUGGUUCAUCUAGUCAUUCAUCUUGGAGAGGAAGCAAUUCUUGUUGGUACUGUACAAGGUCAUUGGAUGUACCCUAUUGAAAGGGAACUCGGCCAUUUGAAAUCUUAUGUACGUAACAAUUCCGCACCAGAAGGUUGUAUAGCUGAAGGAUACAUUUUGGAGGAAUGUCUCACUUUUUGUUCAAGAUAUUUGGAGGAUGGUGAUAUUGAAACAAGGUUUGAUCGACCAAGGGGUAAUGAUGAUGACAAUGAGAUCAGUGCUAGUAGUGAAUCUACUGUCUUGUCAAACUUGUUUCCUGCAUCAGGCAAGCCUGUUGGGGCUAUUAAGACUCUACCCAUACCUCUCUUGGAAAUCAUACAAGCUCACCGAUAUGUUCUAACCAAUUGUUAAAUAGUUGCUGCAUUCCGAGAGUACGUUACAUGAUCUUUUAUAUUGUUCAUUUUCUUUUGUAAUGUAUUUUUAUACCUUACUUUAUGAAUUACAACUACAUUCAGGAAGUUAGGAUUGAGGUCGCUAGGAUGCAUCGUGGCAAAAGAAACCAAUCAAAAACUGUGGAAGAACAUGUGCACAAACAUUUUCACGAGUGGUUUAAGGAAUAUGUUGCAAGAAAUGAUGGUACGGAUAUUACACCUAAAAUUUAACGGCUUGCAAAUGGACCAAAUAAUGUUGUGAGGAGAUUCAAGGAGUAUAACAUUCAUGGAUUUAAGUUUCAUACUGUGAGGAAGGAGCAGGGAUUGACAACACAAAAUAGUGGUGUUUUUAUAUCUAUUGUUACCAAGAGAUUUUCAAGUGGUAGAGAAUCUAUUGAAAAGACAAGUGAUGAUAUGUACUAUGGCAAAUUGGUUGACAUCAUAGAGUUACAUUAUUACGGUAAGUUAAAGGUUGUGUUAUUCAAAUGUAUUUGGGUAGACACUACACUUAACAAGGGAAUAAGAUAGAUCAAUUUGGGAUAACAAGUGUAAACUUUUCACGUUUAAUACACCUUUGGUGAAAAAGAAAU